UACGAAGGGGGCUAGCGUUGCUCGGAAUCACUGGGCGUAAAGGGUGCGUAGGCGGGUUUUUAAGUCAGUGGUGAAAUCCUGGAGCUCAACUUCAGAACUGCCAUUGAUACUGGUUGACUUGAGUACAGACGAGGUUGGCGGAAUUGAUGGUGUAGCGGUGAAAUGCAUAGAUACCAUCAAGAACACCGAUUGCGAAGGCAGCUAACUAGGCUGUAACUGACGCUGAGGCACGAAAGUGUGGGGAUCAAACAGG
rnacentral:rRNA from 1 species